GACGGAGGAGGCAAGCGUUAUCCGGAAUUAUUGGGCGUAAAGGGUACGUAGGCGGCUGGUCAAGUCUGGGGUCAAAGGCCACAGCUCAACUGUGGGAAGGCCCUGGAAACUGACCGGCUAGAGUGAGGUAGGGGUUGCGGGAAUUCCCGGUGUAGCGGUGAAAUGCGUAGAGAUCGGGAAGAACACCUGAGGCGGAAUUGCGCAACGGGGCCACAACUGACGUUGAGGUACGAAAGCUAGGGGAGCGAAUGGG
rnacentral:rRNA from 1 species